rnacentral:rRNA from 1 species
AACGCUGGCGGCGUGCUUAACACAUGCAAGUCGAACGAGAACGGAUUAUAGCUUGCUAUAAUUGUCAGCUAAGUGGCGCACGGGUGAGUAAUAUAUAGAUAACCUGCCCUCUAGAAAGGAAUAACAGUUGGAAACGACUGCUAAUGCCCUAUAUGCCUUUAAUACAUAAGUAUGCAAGGGAAACGCUUUAGUGCUAGAGGAUGGGUCUGUAUGGUAUCAGCUUGUUGGUGAGGUAAUGGCUCACCAAGACUGUGAUCCCUAGCCGACCUGAGAGGGUGAUCGGCCACACUGGGACUGAGACACGGCCCAGACUCCUACGGGAGGCAGCAGUGGGGAAUAUUGGACAAUGGGCGCAAGCCUGAUCCAGCAAUGCCGCGUGCAGGAAGAAGGCCUUCGGGUUGUAAACUGCUUUUGUACGGAACGAAAAGGCUCUGGUUAAUACCUGGGGCUCAUGACGGUACCGUAAGAAUAAGCACCGGCUAACUACGUG